rnacentral:lncRNA from 1 species
CAAUGCUAUAUACCUGUGUUCUGCAUGUGUUUCUUGUAUGAUAAAUAUCAUGGGAAUAUGAUUGACACAGCCUACAUAGCAUAUCACCUGAGAGAUGGACUUUUAAUCUUAAUAUAAAAGAUGGGGGACACCGCACAUGUCAAAUGAUAAUUAUGAAAGUUGAGUAUAGGGUGCAUGGGGAGUUUUAUUGUUUAAUCCAUCCCUAUAUGUUUAAACAUUUUUGUAAUAAUCUUUUUAAAAGAGAAAAUGUUGACUGCCUCAUAAGGAGAGGGAAAGACCAAAAAGAAUGGUUGACAAGGUUGGGACAAUCUGUCAAAACUAGAUUUGAGCUCUCAGUAAAGACAUUCUGGGAGUGUAAUUCCUUUGAGGUUGGGACCUUGGAAGGAAAACAUUCUAUAUAACAGGAAAAAAGGAGGAAAAGAGGAAUUGAUAGUGAAGUGUUUUUCAUGCCAAGAUCCCAUAUGAAUGGCUUCAGUUCCUUUGUGGUUUAUGAGUCCAAUACAUCUGCUAAGUGGAGAUGGCCUCAUUUUGAAGAAAGUGCAGAAGGUUUGAAAAAAAUGUGAGUAGUAUAGAAGAGUGGAUAAGGAAUCAGUGACCUAAGCUCCAUAAGGAUUGUUAACUGAAACUAAGCAUAGAAUAAUAACUUGGGGGAAUGAAUGAGUGAAUUAUCUCUAUUUAGUGCUAGUGUGUAUCAUGAAUUUAGGGUGGUUCUAGUAGAUUUAUAAGAUUUAAAUCCAACAGCAAUCAGUCACUUAUAGGAAGACAUUCCUGGAAAAGGUAGAGAGAAAGGGUUUGGCCAGAGAGUAAGGAUUAAAUGGGGUUGAAUUAGGCCCAUUUGGAGCAGUGCUAAAUGCAGGUUGCCUGAGAGAUCUUGAGGCCUACCUUGAAGAGGGAAGAAAUAAAUUAGUAGAUAAAUGAGUAAGUGCAAAAAAUAAAGACUGGGAGUUGGAAAGCUGACAAAUUGAGGGCCUAUAAUGGAAGGACAGAGGGUGAGAUCAGAGGGAAGAAAGUCAGGCUAUAUUACUCCAGUGGCAGAGGUGUUCCUGGACAUGGCUGUAAGUGAACUGGAAUAGAAGGACCCUAAUAUGGGUUAAAAGGAACUAAGAGGUAAAUUAUUGGUAGGUCUCUCCAGAUGGAUGUUGGUGACUGAUUCCUUACCCCUGCAAGUCCUUUGCCCAUGGAACCCCUGCCACUUUUUGUUCUUCCCAGAGCCUCUGCAGAGUCUGUCUGAAACACUAAGCUUUAGAUGCUGCAAAUCAAUGGCAUAACUCUGGAGUAAAAGAAGUAUGGUAGAAUGCAGGGGCUUUGGUACAUAUAUCUUUUUCAUUUCUAUUUUUACAUCCAGUAUUCAUAAAUGUCUCUGGGGAAAAAAAAAAACAAUUCAAGAGUACUCUGAGACAAUGAAACCCAUUAUUUUGUAUAAUUAAAAUGCACUAAUUAAAAAAAAAAAGCCUCUGGGAAACUCAACCCAUUUUUGAGUCCCAAUCUGUGCAAGUGCAGUUGCCUUCCCAAC